GCUGGGCACCGUGGCGCAUGCCUGUAAUCCCAGCAGUUCGGAGGCUGAGGCAGGAGGAUCAUGAGUUCAAAGCCAGCCUCAGCAUCUUAGUGAGGACCUAAGGAACUCAGUGAGACCCUAUCUCAA
rnacentral:sRNA from 1 species